rnacentral:lncRNA from 1 species
AUGAAAAAGAUGCCUUUUAUUUAUUCAAUAAUAAAUAGUCAAGUACAAAAUUAUGUUCCUAGAAUUAACAAUGUGUCAGCCAGAUUGGCCUCUAGGGCAUACAUCUAGCAAAGAAUACCUCUAACGCUAAUCCAAUAUGAAUGAUCUUCACGAGGCGUCCAAGUAUCCGCCCUCCAACGGUGAUCCACACGAAAACUUGAUUCAAGUCUUAAGCUCCAAAG